AUUCUUAUAGCUUAAAUAUAAAGUAUAGCGCUGAAAACGCUAUGAUGAGCCCUAAAAAGCUCUAAGAAUA
rnacentral:tRNA from 1 species